GUUUCUGGAGGCUCUUUGUGAUCAGUCUCACUGCUCUGUUGAGGCAAAGUGGGUAAAUUUGUGAUCUAACUGAGCACUGUCUAUUCUCAGUAGGUAGAAGGAGCAGCUGAAGGAGUCAAUCUGGGGGAGGUUCUGAGUAAAACCGUGGAGCUAUUUCCGUCCCCAGCCCCUCUGGGGUACCUUGGUCUUCAUCUCAGUCAAGCUAGUUAUUCAAUCUCUGAGCCUCCUCAGAUCAUUUUAGGAAAUUCACUUUUUUCGCUUAGGUAAGCUUUGUACAUUUUCUAUUGCUUAUCAAAUAAUUCUGACAGAAUGGUUAUGAACAAUUUAUUUUUUAUAGAAGCUGAAAUACAUUGUUCAUAUUUCACUCAAAUUCUAACAUUGCGUUGAUGAAAUAUGAAAGAACCAGGGGUAUUAACUCUAUUUUGUAACAGAGGCAACUAAAGUACUAAGAAACUAGUAUUAGGUUUAUAUCAUGAGCUCCUCGGAAGCAGAAUUAAGAAUAAAAUAGAAGCACUACUGGCUCCUCACUCUGCUAAUAAUUAUAGUUGUGGCCUUGAGUAAGUUACCUCUUUGGGUGUAGUCUCUUAAGCUGUAAAAAUAUAGAAUGGGGUCAGAUGACUUCUAAGACCUCUUCUAUGCCUAAAAUCAUUUGAUUUUUUUUAAAUUUAAGCCUUUUUCUUAUAGCCUUCUGCUCUGUGGUUGGAGACCCCAUCUGUUGGAGACCCCAGAAUACAUCAGCUGCUGGGAUGCAGUCUUCCUCAUAAAAUUCAUUUUAAUCAUCUGUGAAAGUAAAAUACGGCAAUAGUUUGCUCAUCUUCAUUUCCAUAGGCACUGUGACUGUCUCUCCCUACUCUUUUUUUUUUUUUGCACAAGUAGAUAUUAAUCAACAUUGUGUUUCUAAUAACAAUGGAGAAAUCGCUGAAUUUAUCAGAAGCAAAGCUGAAUACUUUUGGCUUUGCCCAGACAAUAUGUUUAUGUGUUUAAAGUUAUCAAAUGUAUUGAGAGACAAAUACAUUGAGAUCAAUAUUUUACUAAUGUUACACAUAUAUUAUUUUUUCCUGAGGGAUAUAAUCCACAUUCUCAUGCCAUCUUAACAUUGACUAUUAUGAUUUUUAUCACAGCUUCUUCUUUGAGCUCUUCACACGUCUGCCCUAUUUUGAAAAGCAACAACAACAAAAAAACUCUCUCUAUACAAUAUACUUUAAUCACUUCUUUUCUUGUUCUAACAUAGACAUGAAUUUUUAAAUGUGUGUCACUAAUUCUCUUUAAUCAAUACCUUUCUUCUUCCUCAUUCCCUAAAAUCUGUCUUCUAGUAGGAAAUAUAGGAAAAUAUCUUUUGUCAGUAAAAAAAUAUUUCUUAAACAAUACACCAAAGCACAAUCCUUAAAGUAAAAGAUUGACACAACUGACAACAUUAAAAACAAAAAAUGUCUUCUCAGCAAAAGACACUAUAAAUGAAGUUAAAAGACAAGCCAGAGAUGGAAAGGAUAUGUUUAUAACCCAAAUAACUAAUAAAUAAUUAUUGUAAAAAUAUAUAACUGAAUCUUAAUAAAUUAGGAAAAAGUCAAAUAGCUGAACAGAAUAUGGAAAAGUGAUAGUCAAUUCACAGACAAGGAAAUGUGAGUCUCCAAGUCCAUAUGAACUACGCUGAACUUCACCAAUAUUCAGGGAUAUGCUAUUGAUGAACGUGAUGUAGUACCACUAAGGACUAAGUUAGACUGUAAAAGUUUUUAAAAGCUUUUGCUAAUUUUGAGAAAGAAUUAGGGCAGGCAACAUGAACUCUCCAUAUAAAUUAGCAGAACUAUUUUGGAAAUUAUUAUAUCUCUCUGUAGUAUAUAUCCAUAAAUUAGAAACUCCACAUGUAGGCAAGCCCUUGGAAACUCUGCAUGUGGGCAUGAAGACAUGCAUGCAAAAACACUGUAUCACCAGUUGUAAUAGCGAAAAAUGGAAAGAAGGAAAGAAAAACAAAGAGAAAUAGAAAUAACCUAAACAUGUAAGGGAAUGAAUAAACAACUUGGGAUGUAUUUGUUCAGUAGGACACUAAAUUAUGACUUUAAUAAAUAGAUGAUAACCAUAAGUAUCUACCUGAAAAAAAAUCUCAAAUCACAAAGAUAAAAUACCAUUUAUACUAAGAUAGCAUAGGAUACCAUGUACAUUAUAUUAAUAGAUAUGAAAUACUACUACAUAUAUUUUUUAAAAAAAUACUUAUUUAGUAAUAACACCAAAAUCAUUCAGAGGAAUGAUAAAUCCAACUUCUACAGAAGUAGUUUCUCUGAAGAAAGUAGGUUGGGAUUGGGAAAGGGAACACAGGAUGUUUAAUGUGCAUCUAGGACAUCUUGCUAUUUUUAUACAUCUGAAAUAAAAAUAUAAAAUUAGUAGAGCUUAGUGGAGGGUGGAUAUAAUAAGUUCAUUAUUUUAUUUUAUUUUAUAUUAUUUUAUUUUAUUUUUUUGUGGUGCUGGGGCUUGAACUCAGGGCCUCACACAUGCUAAAGUAUAUACUCUAUCCUUGAACAACAUAUUAUUCUUUGUAAUUUGAAUAUGAUUGUGAUGUUUCAUAAGAAAAAAUAUUUCUAAAAAGAAGUUUGGUCUCUGUUACUGUUUUGUUAUGGAAACUUAUUUCUGGAGGUCAACUAAUAGUUUUCUCCUUAACUUUAAAAAUCUUUAUUUUCCUCAUUUUUUGCUUUCUUUUGAAAGACUUGAAAAUUUUGUUCACAAACUCAAGAAACUACCUCCGUUUUUUUUUGUUUGUUUUGCUUUUGUCCUGUUAGAACAUAUGCCACUGCUUUUCAAUAUCAGGAUUCAUUUCUAUUUUUAAUAUAUUCUUAUAUGACCAAACAUUCUUCUUUACGUAAGAUCACAAUUAAUUCUAUAUCUGUAAAUUUCAAUUUUCAGUGAUAAACUGUCUUAAAUUCUUACAAUAACUAGUAAAAAUGGUAAACUAUUUACAAAUGUUCUGGAAUACUAUCAAAAUUAGUAAAUCAACACAAGUGAAUACAUAUGUUUCAUGAUAUCUACCAAAACACAAGCCUGCAUGGUCAAUUUGUAUAUAGUAUGAAAACAACUUUUUUAUGCUCUCUAUUAGAAAAGAGAAGCAAAUGAGAGAUGUAAGUGAGGUAAAAUGAAAAAAAUGGGAAUAACUAAUUGGAAGUAUCAUUAUCAGUUAUUCCAAAACCUAUUCUAUCCAUAAAAUGAUGAAAGCAAGAAUGAAACUUUUCAAAAGAGUUUUUGAUAUCGAGUUCCUCUGAUGUUUCGAAGAACUCAGCUGUGAAAUGGAUGGAAUAUAAU
rnacentral:lncRNA from 1 species